AUUGAACGCUGGCGGCAGGCUUAACACAUGCAAGUCGAGCGAGCGGCGGACGGGUGAGUAAUGUCUGGGAAACUGCCUGAUGGAGGGGGAUAACUACUGGAAACGGUAGCUAAUACCGCAUACCCUCAGAUGUGCCCAGAUGGGAUUAGCUCGUAGGUGGGGUAAUGGCUCACCUAGGCGACGAUCCCUAGCUGGUCUGAGAGGAUGACCAGCCAAACUGGAACUGCGACACGGUCCAGACUCCUACGGGAAGCAGCAGUGGGAAAUAUUGCACAAUGGGCGUAAGCCUGAUGCAGCCAUGCCGCUUGGGUGAAGAAGGCCUUCGGGUUGUCAAGCACUUGCAGCGAGGAGGCGUUACUCGCAGAAGAAGCACCUGCUAACUCCAUGCCAGCCGCCGCGGUAAUAC
rnacentral:rRNA from 1 species